AGCAGCCGCGGUAAUUCCAGCUCCAAUAGCGUAUAUUAAAGUUGUUGCAGUUAAAAAGCUCGUAGUUGGAAUUUCGGGGUUAGUAGGUUGGUCAUGCCUCUGGUAUGUACUGGUCUCACUGAUUCCUCCUUCCUGAUGAACCUUAAUGCCAUUAAUUUGGUGUUUUGGGGAAUUUGGACUGUUACUUUGAAAAAUUAGAGUGUUUAAAGCAGGCUAACGCUUGAAUACAUUAGCAUGGAAUAAUGAAAUAGGACGUUCGAUCCUAUUUUGUUGUUUCUAGGAUUGACGUAAUGAUUAAUAGGGAUAGUUGGGGCAUUAGUAUUCAAUUGUCAGAGGU
rnacentral:rRNA from 1 species